AGUGAACGCUGGCGGUAGGCCUAACACAUGCAAGUCGAACGGCAGCACAGGAGAGCUUGCUCUCUGGGUGGCGAGUGGCGGACGGGUGAGGAAUACAUCGGAAUCUACUUUUUCGUGGGGGAUAACGUAGGGAAACUUACGCUAAUACCGCAUACGACCUACGGGUGAAAGCAGGGGAUCUUCGGAUCUUGCGCGAUUGAAUGAGCCGAUGUCGGAUUAGCUAGUUGGCGGGGUAAAGGCCCACCAAGGCGACGAUCCGUAGCUGGUCUGAGGAGGAUGAUCAGCGACACUGGAACUGAGACACGGUCCAGACUCCUACGGGAGGGAGCAGUGGGGAAUAUUGGACAAUGGGCGCAAGCCUGAUCCAGCCAUACCGCGUGGGUGAAGAAGGCCUUCGGGUUGUAAAGCCCUUUUGUUGGGAAAGAAAUCCAGCUGGUUAAUACCCGGUUGGGAUGUCGGUACCCAAAGAAUAAGCACCGGCUAACUUCGUGCCAGCCGCCGCCGUAA
rnacentral:rRNA from 1 species